rnacentral:rRNA from 1 species
GGAGCGCAACUGACGCUCAUGCUCGAAAGUGCGGGUAUCGAACAGGAUUAGAUACCCUGGUAGUCCGCACGGUAAACGAUGGAUGCCCGCUAUUUGUCCAUUAGGAUAAGUGGCCAAGUGAAAACGUUAAGCAUCCCACCUGGGGAGUACGCCGGCAACGGUGAAACUCAAAGGAAUUGACGGGGGCCCGCACAAGCGGAGGAACAUGUGGUUUAAUUCGAUGAUACGCGAGGAACCUUACCCGGGCUUGAAUUGUGAGAGAAGGAUCCAGAGAUGGUGACGCCCUUCGGGGCUCUCAUGAAGGUGCUGCAUGGUUGUCGUCAGCUCGUGCCGUGAGGUGUCGGCUUAAGUGCCAUAACGAGCGCAACCCCUCUCUUCAGUUGCCAUCAGGCUAUGCUGGGCACUCUGGAGACACUGCCACCGUAAGGUGUGAGGAAGGUGGGGAUGACGUCAAAUCAGCACGGCCCUUACGUCCGGGGCUACACACGUGUUACAAUGGGUGGUACAGAGAGUUGGGUGCCCGCAAGGUCACUCUAAUCAAUAAAUCCAUCCUCAGUUCGGACUGGGGUCUGCAACCCGACCCCACGAAGCUGGAUUCGCU